GACGAACGCUGGCGGCGCGCCUAACACAUGCAAGUCGAACGAGCGAGAGAGAGCUUGCUUUCUCGAGCGAGUGGCGAACGGGUGAGUAACGCGUGAGGAACCUGCCUCAAAGAGGGGGACAACAGUUGGAAACGACUGCUAAUACCGCAUAAGCCCACGACCCGGCAUCGGGUAGAGGGGAAAGGAGCAAUCCGCUUUGAGAUGGCCUCGCGUCCGAUUAGCUAGUUGGUGAGGUAACGGCCCACCAAGGCGACGAUCGGUAGCCGGACUGAGAGGUUGAGCGGCCACAUUGGGGCUGAGACACGGCACAGACUCCUACGGGAGGGAGCAGUGGGGAAUAUUGCACAGUGGGGGGAACGCUGAAGCAGCGACGCCGCGUGGAGGAAGAAGGUCUUCGGAUAGUAAACUCCUGUUGUUGAGGAAGAUAAUGACGGUACUCAACAAGGAAGUGACGGCUAACUACGUG
rnacentral:rRNA from 1 species